rnacentral:rRNA from 1 species
GAUGAACGCUGGCGGCGUGCUUAACACAUGCAAGUCGAACGAAGCACCUUGAUUUCUUCGGAAAGAUGGGUGACUGAGUGGCGGACGGGUGAGUAACGCGUGGGUAACCUGCCUCAUACAGGGGGAUAACAGUUAGAAAUGACUGCUAAUACCGCAUAAGCGCACAGUACCGCAUGGUACGGUGUGAAAAACCCCGGUGGUAUGAGAUGGACCCGCGUCUGAUUAGCUAGUUGGUGGGGUAACGGCCCACCAAGGCGACGAUCAGUAGCCGACCUGAGAGAGUGACCGGCCACACUGGGACUGAGACACGGCCCAG